AAGUCGUAACAAGGUUUCCGUAGGUCAAGUCUUGCCUACCACAGCAGCCCCGGCUGCUAGUCUCCUAGUGAGGCGACACGCUCAAUUUGCGGAGAGGUCCUCCUUCUGAGGAAAAUCCGCAGCCCACCUCCCCUACCCGGAGGUCGGUUCAGAGGCUCAACGAGUGUGGGUUCAGCGCAGCUGAGCUUAAGAUAGAGUCCGUCUUGGCUGGCAACAGCGAAGAUUCAACGGAACCUGCGGAAGGAUCAUUAAAGAAUACAUGGCCUUCGGGUCCUAUUCUCACCCUUUGUUUACCAAAACUCUUGUUGCCUUGGCGCAUUCGUGCGCCAAAGGAAUCAAACCCUUGAAUCUCUGCUGUCUGAGUACUAUAUAAUAGUUAAAA
rnacentral:misc_RNA from 1 species